AAAAAAGGAAGGGUGCAGGGAAGGUACUUCCCGCUGGUUUAAGGAGGGUGCUCAGGCACGAUAGUGCCGUCGAAGGGAAC
rnacentral:sRNA from 12 species